CCGCUUAGCUCGGGUGAAAUCAUGGCGGCGUCUGUGGGCCAGAUUCCCGGGGGGACGACCCCCGUGGCGGCGGCCCCGGUGGGAACCAUGGUCGAGACGGAGGUAAAUUCUGAAUCCCAAGAGCAAGAAAAGAUACUGUCUCCAGAUUUUCUUUCAGUUGACCAAAUCACUGAACUGCUGCUAUCAGAGAGUAUAGAUGAAAUUCAACAAACACUGGAAAUUUUUUUGAAUUUUAAAAAUGUUAAAAUCUGUUUCAAAGAAGCCAUUGUUUUAGAUUAUUAUGUAUCUGGAUUUUUGUGGAGUAAAGGAAUGGAAUUUACUAUAAUUCAAUAUUCAAGAUUUAUGACUCUACUACAUAUGUUACUUCAUAAUCUUAGCACACUUCAAAUGUCCUUAGAAGAUAACAUAAAAUGGGUUGGAGAAGUUAUGGCUGAAAUAGGACCAUCCCAACAACAAAAAGAUGAGGAAUGGAAUAUCUUUGAUGUAAAGCAAGCUAAUGCUAUUAUUGACUACUUAAAAACCAGCUUAUUUCAACACUAUAAACUCUAUGAGUUUCUGUUCUACUCUACCAGGGAUGAAAUUGUGAUAGGAACUGAGGAGACCAUAAGAGGAAGAAUGUCAUUUUCUUUCCCGAAUUGAAGUUGUCGAAGGAUGCAUCCUCAAGAUGGUAGAGUUUCCUAGAACAGAAGUGAUCUUGACUUCUGGAAGACCCGGGCUUGUCAGAGGUGGGGAUAGGGCAUGGGAUGCCCAGCGCAGCUGCCCAGCAAGAUCCCAGUUCCAGCCCCUUGAACCUAAACUCAAAGCAUGUUGAGUGAGUCUGCCUACCUUUCAAAUAACAAAUUCAAGAAUCUGUGCAGAGCAAAACUUGAAAGUCUCCAACCUAAAGAAGGAAACUAAUGAUCCAGUCUUAGUCAGAGCAGAGUUCAGUCUUACCAAUAAGAAGGCUACUAACACCCACGAACAGUAGUGAUGAGUACCAGGAGGAUUACUCCACAGCUUAGAAGCCGGCCUUGCAUCCUGGGGGAAUAGGCAGCUCAAAUAGAGUAGGGACCACCAAGUAAAGGGUGCUAGGAGGGCCCGUUCGGGAUGGGAGAUGUGGGCUGAAAAUAGACUAUAGACCGAACGUGAUGGCCACUUAAUGCCUCUACUGCAAACCACAACACCCAAAAGGAGAGAGAGAGCAAAAGGGAAUGCCCCGCCACAGAGGCGGGUGGAGGAGGAGGGAUGCUGGGACCAUUGGUGGUGGAAAAUGGGCACUGAUGAAGGGAUUGGCACUCGACCACUGUAUGACUGAAACACAAGCACGAACAUUUGUAAGUCUGUAACUAUCUCACAGGGAUUCACUAAUAAACAAAUUAAAAAAAAAAAAAAAGAAGGCUACUGAAACACAGGACUGAGUCACAACACACCAAGGCCUCUAGGGCAUUAAACACGCUGGCUCCCAGCCAAGUAGUUAUCCUGUGGUGAUAGAGAAUUCUGUGAGGAAUCCAAGAGUCCAUUGCUUCAUCUUUCAAAAACAUCUCUUGUACAGUAUGACUGCCCUUUGGAAUGGCAAGCACUGAAGACCAACUAGAAGGUUGAUUCCAUGGCAGCUGAGGGUGGUGGAGAAAAGUGGGGCCUGCAUUCUAGCAGAGGUCAUUUUCCUGUCCCAGCAGGUAUUCUUCAACUAGCCAGGGUCUUAUUCAUGGCCUGUUUCAAGUGAGCAAUAAAUUGAAAAUACAUGGAAGCCCCCCAAAUGUCUCCUUUUAAUUUAAAACACUGAACACUGGCUGGUGUUGUGGCUAAUAUCAGGCCACAGAGUGGCAAGGCACUUCCCCUGAGCACAUUCUGUUUCUAAGCUCAUUAAACUUUGGAAUAGGUCUGGCCUUUGUGUGUGCAUGUGUUUUAAAGCUGUUUUAUGACACAUUGUCAGGACCUCAGGUACUGGGUCUCUUUAACUCCGGCUUUCAGCAGCUGCCUUGGCACUUCCCUUUCACAUAAUUAAACACCCCAUAGUACUUAACAGAGUAAUAAGUAGCACAUCAAUAAAGCAAUAAAUAAUUGCAUUCAAGAAAACUCCAAAAGCCAUCAUCCAUUAAUCAGAAGCUGGAGCAAUAGUUUUGAUUAAUCAAUAAGGUUACAUAAUAGGAAAGCAGAAGUCGGUCAAGGCGGGGAAGAAGCAGCUCCCAGAAUUGGAGAAUUUGAGAAGCCAUGAAGGACUCUUAUCUCUGAAGUAAUUUGCAGAGAGAAUAUCAAUUGGAAGCAGUAGCCCAGAGAGUAACUGUAGCAGCAGGAAGCCCCACCUCCAGAAACUAGUUAAAAACGCUAGUUAAAAACAAAGAAGCGGGACAAUUCCUCUCUAAGGCAGGAGGGCUGCCUACUGAGACUGUGGAGGGAGGGCGCCAUAAAAGCAAAAUGUUUCAACUAAAAAGAAAAGUACUCUCAGCGGAGCUAAAGAGCAAGAAGGGUCGCGAUGGGGUUUCUUCUUCCUCAAGGUGUCCGGGUGGAGAAGGUGACUCAGCCUCGUGCUCCUAUAGGGAAGCCCUGUACGAACCUUACUACCGGACCACAAAGUCAGACCAGGGUUGUGGAAAUCAGUGUAUCUGUGCUUUACUGUUUUCUGUUGCCUGGAGUUUGUUUUAUCAUCUUUUACCUGCACCCACUCCCUGCCUGUAGGAAUCUAGAACAGUCUGGAAAUGGCGCCUAGGAACUCAUGAGAUCCUGUGCAUUUUCAGUGCACUCCCCAAGAGAUUCGGCUGCUCAGCUCACACAUGAAUACUCUCCAGCUGAAAGGUCUCCCACCCACCAACGUGAGACUGCCAUGAAGUGUAAAAUUAGAUCUGUCUUCCACUGAUGUCUGUAAGUCAUACUCAGGGUAAGGUUUGCUCGGACCAAAUGGUGACUGCUCUGGACCAAAUGGUGAUCGGUUGAUGAGAUGGCGACAUUCCUAGAAUCAGAGAGCACUCUGCCCCAGCACAGAAGACAGGACUAACGGGGCCCACCUGGUGCCAGGAAGCUAGCAGACUGCAUUCCAUGCUUCCUCACAUCAAGCCCUUACAGAUCUCGGAAGGGCAGACAAAACACACCGGUGCCACUGGUCUCUGUUCUCUUUUCCCAUCCAGGACAACUUAAAAUCCCACUUAGCCUUGCCCAUGCCGUGAC